rnacentral:rRNA from 1 species
UACAGGGGGGGCAAGCGUUGUUCGGAAUUACUGGGCGUAAAGGGUCUGUAGGUGGCCAACUAAGUCAGACGUGAAAUCCCUCAGCUUAACUGGGGAACUGCGUCUGAUACUGGAUGGCUUGAGUGUGGGAGAGGAAUGCGGAAUUCCAGGUGUAGCGGUGAAAUGCGUAGAUAUCUGGAGGAACACCGGUGGCGAAGGCGGCAUUCUGGACCGGUAUUGACGCUGAGGCGCGAAAGCUAGGGGAGCAAACGGG